rnacentral:rRNA from 1 species
CGAACGCUGGCGGUAUGCUUAACACAUGCAAGUCGAACGAGAAAGUCACUUCGGUGGCGAGUAGAGUGGCGCACGGGUGAGUAACACGUAGGUGACCUGCCUUUUAGUGGGGGAUAACUCGGAGAAAUUCGGGCUAAUACCGCAUACGAAGUACAAUUUUGAAAGUAGUACUUGAAAGACUGCCUCUAUACUAUGCAGUUACUAAAAGAUGGGCCUGCGGGACAUUAGCUUGAUGGUGGGGUAACGGCCUACCAUGGCGACGAUGUCUAGCUGGUCUGAGAGGAUGAUCAGCCACACUGGAACUGAGACACGGUCCAGACUCCUACGGGAGGCAGCAGUGGGGAAUAUUGCGCAAUGGACGAAAGUCUGACGCAGCAAUACCGCGUGAGUGAGGAAGGCCUUCGGGUUGUAAAGCUCUGUCAAUGUGGAAAAACGGUAUAGGGUCUAAUAGGCCUUAUAUUUGAUGGUACACAUAAAGGAAGCACCGGCUAACUUC